UCCUGGUAAUUUCCGGAGUUUAAUGAAGUCCUUUGUGGGGGAAGCAAUUGGAUUUCAAUGACCUCCUCCCUGGAGCUCGCCCCAGUGAGCAGGAUCUACCGUCUCCACCUAGUUCUGAUUGACUGUGAGUCUCCCAACCUCCCCAUGCCUCUCCGUGUUUGCUGUCUGAUGAUAAAUAACCUUCUUUCUUAGAACCGGGCAUAUAAAUAUUUCUGCAGUGUCACGAUUCACUUUCUCAAGUACAAAGGGUAGAAAAUGGAAAGCCUGUCUCCUGUUGGGGCCCCUCCUCCCUCCUCCCUCCUCCUUCCAAACUGAUUUCUGCUGUGGCUUGGUCCCUGCACCCUUGUGGUCUCAGAUCUUGAAGCCUUUUAGUAGUGGCUACCAUGUAAGGAAGAGGUCAGAGAUGAGUAAUACCUGGCACGCCCUUGUUCUCCAUGUCCUCACCACUCCGUGUUCUAGCCACUGGGGGAAAGGAACACAUAAAAACAAACACCUAUGCUAUCCACAAUCACCAAGAGGUAGAAUCAACCCAAAUGUCCAUCAAAUCAUGAACAGGUUAAAAAAAAAAAUGGUCUAUCCAUACAAGGGAGUUUUAGUUAAUCGUAAAAAGGAAUGAAGUAUUGAUGCAUGAUACAAGGUGAAUAAACCUCAAAAACAUGCUAACUUGUUAUUGAGACAUGCACCUGUAUUCCCAGCUGCUUGGGAGGAGAAACAGUAGAUUAGUGGUUUCGGGAGGGGCGGGGGGAUGAAGACCUGUGGGCUUAAUAGUUAAUAGGUAUGAGAGUCUUCCUUGGGGUCAUGACAAGGGAACUAGGUACAGGUUGAACGAUGUUGUGAAUGUCCUCGUUGCCACUGCGUUGAUUGUUUUAAAAUGUCUAAUUGCAAUGAUCUGAAUUUCACCUCCGUUAAAAAGAAAAAGGCCCAGUCCGCAUGGCGUUUCCAUCCUAACAGGGACGGACUGACAAGGAACCCUGGAGUAGCGCAAUGGCCAACAGACAAGGUGUUCCCUUCUGUCCUGAGGACGUUCCGGCAGGCGCGUGCGAAGGGCAGGGAGAAAUUCCAGGUGACAGGAGUCUCCUGCCCAGCUCAGCUGGUGCCUGGGGUGGAGUCCCAGGGCCAGCUCUGUGACCCUGUUCAAGUCACCUGACGUUGUGGAUUCGUCCCCACUAGAUGCGUGCAGUCUGCAGAGCUGCCGGGUGCCCCCAGAACACUCUGUUGUUUCUGGGUGUGUCCGUCUUCCAAGUCUGAAGUCCUGUCCCUGUUGUUGACAUUUUGAAGCUUGUUACUUUGGGACCCAGAGCUCACUGUGGCAUACAAGAAACCGCCUCCCGUUUCUGCUUUGGCCUGAAUGACCCGACCAUGAAUCCCUGGUCCCAGCCAAGGCUCACACCCAGCCACUGUGGUCUGAAUGUGGACUGAGUGUCCCCCGGGCCCCCUGUGAGGUAUUGAGAGCAAAAGCUUCAUCCAACUGCAGUGUUCGGAGGUGGGGCCUCCGGCAAUGGUUGGGGUUAGAUACGGUCAUUAGGGUGGAGCCACCUGAUGGAGUCCUAGGACUUUAUAAAAAGGAGAGCUGAACAGGGCUUGGUGGCACAGGCCUGCAAUCCCCGGAACUCAGGGAGGCUGAGGCAGGAGGAUUGCAAGUUCAAGAUCAGCCUCAGCAACUUAUUGAGACCCUGUCUCAAAAUAAAAAAUUUUUGAAAAAUGAACUGGGGGGCGUGGCUCAGUGGUAAAGUGCCCUGGGUUCAGUCCCUAGCAUCCGAAUUCUUAAAAGGGGGGCAGCGAGGGGAAGAGGGGAGGCUGGGAGUAGCUCAGCACUUGCCCAGCAAGUGCAAAGCCCUGGGUUGAUUCCCAGCACUUAAAAAAAGUGGGAGAGAGGCCAUAAAACAUGGUCCCUCUUCCUCCCUGUGAUGUCUUGUGCUGCCUCAGACUCUGCCACCAAGAAGGCCAUCACCAGGUGAGGAUCCUUAGACCUUGCACCUCCAGAGCUGAAAGUCAAAAUAAACCCCUUUUUCUUUAUAAAGUAGCCUACUUUGGGUAUUUUGUUAUAGUAACAAAAAAACUAAUUUAGAAGCCAGUAAAGAACCUCAGGCAGGAACGCAUUGGAGGGCAAUCUCCCUCCUCUUUAGUAGCACACAUCUAUGCAAACUGUCCUACCUGUGGAGGUUCACCUCUGGCAUAAAGGGGAUCAGGGUGACAUGGCACAUAAAGCCCCAUCCUGUGGAAACUUUGUGAUGAUUGUUGGGGUACAAAGAUAGCGCCUAGGAAAGUGAGAAAAUCCCCAGGGUCCAGUAGAGGGCACAAUGUGACUGUCUUGUCAAUGAGAAGGAGAAGGGCAGAGAAGGAGAAGGACUGGCCCAGCAUUGCACAGAGCCUGCCUGAAUUCUGUCCUUCCUCUGCAGCGGGCCCAGGGAGGGGUCCUGAGUCAGGCCUGGGGUGGGCAGGUGUGACCAGAUCCAGAGGUGAGCGGGUGAGUGACUGCCAGAGCCAUUCCGUGUGAGGGGGUGGGAAUUUGAAUGGAUGAAGAGGUAGAAGCCACGGCCGCGUUUGCUGAGGGGCUGAUGAGUCCAAUGUGUUUCAAAAAUCCAGUUUAAAUGUCAGGUUGGGUUUUUCUUGAAUUUUCUGGCAAAGUGAAAUUUAUUAACCUGGAUUAUGAUCUUCUUGAAAAGGUAAAAACCUGAGCUUUUCUCUCUUGAGACCUCUAAAAAGCUUUUAUUUAUUUUUGGUACCAGGGAUUGAACUCAGGGGCACUGGACCCCUGAGCCCCAGCCCCAGCCCUAUUUUGUAUUUUAUUUAGAGACAGGGUCUCAUUGAGUUGCUUAUCUCCUCGAUUUUGCUGAGGCUGGCUUUGAACUCGCGAUCCUCCUGCCUCAGCCUCCUGAGCCUCCGGCAUUACCGACAUGAACCUGUGGGCUGGCUCUGGAAAAGCUUUUAAAGAAAAUGAAAGACCCCAUAAAUAUGUACAAUAACUAUGUGUUAAUCAAAAAAAAUUUUUAAAUGUUUAAGGACAUGGAGAGGUGAACUAUGCUGAUUUUGAUUUGAGCACUACACACUGUAGUAUACAUCAAAUUAUCACAUGGUGUCCCAUAAAUUUGUACAGUUAACAUAAUGACUUAAAAAAUAAAAAUAGGGCUGGGGCUGUAGCUCAGGGGUACAGCACUUGCCUAGCAUGCAUGAGGCCCUGGGUUCGAUCCUCAGCACCACAUAAAAAUAAACAAAUAAAAUAAAGGCAAUCUGUCCAUCUACAACUAUAAAUAAAUAAAUUAAUUAAUAAUAAAUAAAUGAAAAUAAAUUUUAUAUAAAGGAGACGAAUGGCAAUAGUUCUGAUAAUGGUUGUAUGUACAGGGUGCUUAAUAUAUUAAGCACAUCAUGUGAUUUUUUUUUCUUUUAUACUGGGGAUUGAACCUAGGGGUGCUUAACCACUGAGCCACAUCCCCAGCCUUUUUUUAUAUUUUAUAUUUAGAGACAGGGUCUUGCUAAGUUGCUAAGGCUGGCCUCCAACUUGUGAUCCUCCUGCUUCAGCCUCCUGAGAUGUUGGGAUUAUAGGGAUGCGCCACUGUGCCCAGCUGAAUAUGUUUGUGUUUUUAAUGUUCUCAGCACCCUUGGAGUAGGUCUAUUCUUAGCCCCAUUCUAAAAAUGGUAAAGUCAAGGUUCAGGGGAAUGAAGUCACUCAUCCACAGUCACAUUGCUUCGAGGGACAGGAUUUUCAACCCCCAUCCAGUUGCUCCUGGCCCUGCCUGGCAUUUGGAAAUUUGACUUCUGAAAAGGAUUCCUAGGAGCCUGGGAAGAUCAACACGCUGCCCAAGGAGGAUCCUAAGCCUGUUGGCGAGUGCUCACCAAAAUGCAGAAUAUUCCCACACAGGAAUGUACAACAUAAAAACAGAAAUAUUUUAGAAGACACAUAGAAUCUGUUUUUUGUAAUCCUCUUUACAAUGCUCAGAAUUAUCCUGAUUUCAGUUUGGGAAUCUUUUUUCAGGGCUGGAUGUCACUUCUGGUAGAAUGUGUGCUGUGUGUGUGCAGGAAGCCCUUGGCUGCAGCCCCACAAAAGGAAAAAAGAGAGAGCAAGAGAAUUUCAUCGAGUUUAAGAACAGCCGGCUGCCAUCCCAGCGACUUGGGAGGCUGAGGCAGGAGGAUGGCAAGUUCAAG
rnacentral:lncRNA from 1 species